UGGCCCACCAAGGCGACGAUCCGUAGCUGGUCUGAGAGGAUGAUCAGCCACACUGGAACUGAGACACGGUCCAGACUCCUACGGGAGGCAGCAGUAGGGAAUAUUGGACAAUGGGCGCAAGCCUGAUCCAGCCAUGCCGCGUGAGUGAAGAAGGCCCUCGGGUUGUAAAGCUCUUUUGUCCGGAAAGAAAAGCGCCGGGUUAAUACCCUGGUGUCCUGACAGUACCGGAAGAAUAAGCACCGGCUAACCUCGUG
rnacentral:rRNA from 1 species